GUGUGAGUACGUCCAUGUAAGGGAGUGUGUGCUUGAGCAGGAGAGAGCAAGAGGGAGCGCAGAAAAGCUUUGAGAACUUGGCCACACACAGCACUUGUCCAGAGUCAGUUGUAGAAAAAGGGAAGGAGAGACAGAGAGACACACAGAGAGAGAGACACACAGAUAGAGAGAUAGAUAGAGAGAGAUAGAGAGAGAGAGAUAAUACGACAUUUGAAAUGUCUUUAUUAUUUUGGAACUUCUGUGAGUGUUGUUUAUUUCACUUGUGUUUAUUAUCUAUUUCACUGGCUUUGGCAAUGUAAACAUAUGUUUCCCAUGCCAAUAAAGCCCUUACAUUGAAUUGAAUUGAGAGAGAGAGAGACACAGGGCUGUGCUGCAACAACUCAGAGUGAGAGAAAGAGAGAGAGAGAGAGAGAGAGAGAGAGGGAGAGAGAGAGAGAGAGAGACUUUUCUCUCGACCUCUUUUCUCUCCGCAUCUUUCUCUCCCACGCUCCCGAGAAGAGGGCAGACUUUUCAGCUACCUGGGACCCUCCACUACUCCCCAGCUGCAGGGAGUUUAUAGAUGGAUUGUGAUGACCUCAUAGAGGAGGCGCUGUACUCUACAGAUGAGCCCUGUGAAGAUCUAAAACCACAUAGCAGCCCCAGCCUGAGCCUCAAUAUGGACAACGAGAUCACAGCCAAGGAGAGAGGAGUACUGGAGGAGAAUAACGAAAAGGAGAUGAUGGACAGAUAUCAGGAGGAGGAGGAGGUAGAGGAGGAGGAGGAGGAAGAGAAGGGUAGGAGGGAGCAGCUGGAGCCUCUGUCUGAGGAGCAGGAGCUGGAGGAGUUGAGGAGUCAGGUGCUGCAGCUCCUCCUGGAGUUAGAAGGGGCCAGGGAGAUAUCCAACAAACACCAGGAGGCUUUCCACGAGCUGCAGGGUCUAUUGGAGGAUGAGCGUUUGACCAGCGCUCAUCAGGCAGAAGCCUUCGCACGACAGGUCCACAACCUGCAAGCCCAGCUGCGUCCGGUACAGGAGGAGAUUGACUCUCUGGAGGAGGAGAAAGAGAGCAAACUGACCGAGGCCCACGAGGAGCUACGCCUGGCUCAGGAGCAGGUGCUACUGCUGCAGCAGGCGGCGGAGGAGUCGGCGGCUGAGAGGGAGAACGACAUCGCCUCCCUACAGGAGGAGCUUUGUCGCCAUCAGGCCGAGCUGGGGAGGCUCAACGAGGAGGCACAGGAGUACGAGCUAGAGAUCACCACGCUCCGUGCCGAGAUCAGCAUGAAGAGUCAGAGGAGAGAGGAGGAGAGGAGAGGAGGAGAUGUAGAAACACUGAAGCAGGAGUGUGUCACGUUGAGGGAGGAAUGUGAGACAUUGAAGAAUGACAACAGAUGUCUGACUGAGAGACUACAGCUACAGAGGACAUGUUCCAACAGCCACCUGUCCCUGAAGGAGGAUGGGGAGGACACCGGAAUCGGAGUGGGCACAGAGAUGGGGGGCAUGGCUGAGAGCUACAUGACCAUGACAGAGUGCCAGUCAACGGGUACAGCCACCAACUGCCGCCUGAAGGACGUGUCCAUUCAGAAGAACAUCUCGUUCGACGGGAAGCCCAUGACCCCCACCGGCUGGAAUGGAGGAUUCGGGGAGAUCGUCUCACUGAGGGACCAGCUGAAACAAGCUGAGGAGAAGGCCUCACUGGUACAGAGACAGUGUGACGGUUUGAAGACCGAGCUGAGGGAGCUACAGGUGCUGUAUGACUGCAGCCAGAGGGAGAGGGAGGGGAUGGAGGAGGAGCUACUGCGCUGCAAGGCAGAGUUGGAGAGGCUGGCUGGAGGGGGGCAGGAAUGAUUGUAAUAUUGGGAGUGGUUUGGUGCUGGUUGUCCGAGCUGGCGUCACAGAAAGCAAGGGGUGUGAUAUAGAACGGAACCCCUAUUCUGACUGUCACCGUGGCAACAGCUGUGCUUCUGAUCGUGGCUAGCUUGUUGAGAGGUCGAGCAGGUGCAGAUGUUGAGCAGGUCAGAUCAGUAACAAGUUAUACUGACAAAGAAGGUAAUGUCUGCUUAUAGACAACUACCCUCCAUCCCCACCCCGUUAUCACAUCAAUCUGGGACGAACAACAGAUCACACACCAUUCUUCUAAUUCAGAAAACAGGAGCAUCUUCAAAAGAAAAACUUCAGAAAACAGGAGUGCUCAUAGUUCUGAUGGAAAAGAUGGACUCCUUUUCUCUCCUGUUCUGGGGGACACAGGUCUUCAUGAAGCUGAGAAGAUAGUGUGGAUACUUACAUUUAAUUGGACAGUACCUUUCCGCAUAAAUCUUGCUGGUUCUGCCCCUCUGGCAUCUCAUUCUGUCCCUGUCUCUCUGUCUGUCUCACGGGUCUUGACUAUGGGACUGAAUUGGUCCUGAGUUUAAAUGUCUUAUACUACUCUUAUACAACUCUCAUCUUGUAUUUUACUAAAUGUAUUUAUUAAUAUGUUAAUUGAUUGGUCAUCUUUUAACAAGAACCUCCUCUGCGUCUUGCACAUCUGCUGAAUUAAAACUCUUAAAUAAAUAAAUGAGGUUAAAUAAAUAAAUAAAAAUCCAUAUGAUGUUGUAAAUAAGUCCUAGUAGAAUCUUUCUGAUAAAAUAUUAUUAUAUCUACACUUGUAAUUCAUUAUUUAAAGGAAUAUGUCAAAUACAUGAAAUAAUUUCAUGUCUGUGCCCGUGUCUUGUGAAUAGCUCAAACCAUGGGGAUUUUUCUCAAUUAGAAUGAAAUUAAUAAUGAAGACCUAGUAUAGUUCUAGUCUAGAGUGACAGAUGCUUUCCCCCCAAAAAAUGUUUAAAGGCAAUAGUUAAUUUAUAAAGCAUACGCUCUAAAAUAUUUUCUCAUCAAUUUACAUUUACUUAAAAAUGCAAUGAUUAUUCCAGAUGUCCUAUCUACAGUGAAUCUGUUAUUAGUGAGGAUGUUUAUUCUGCGUUUUCAGAGUUGUGUAAAUGCCUAUUUGUUAUGGUGUCCCCAUUAAAGGGGGAACUGUAUGGGAGAUAUGUGUGCUAGUCUAGCAGCUGUCCUAAUGCACCUGUCAAUCCUAGCCCGGUGUUUCAAGUCUAUGUUUAACCAACCAUCUCACCCACAUACGAGUGUCCUAGCUAUUUUUCUCCACAGUCACAGUCACUUCUUUUAUUUACUGAACUUAACUUAGUGCACCGUCAGACAGACUUGGGUUGAAAUACUAUUCUAAAAUAAUUUCAAAUACCUUAUCUGUGUUUGAUUGAGAAUCCUGAUUUAAUGGACCAAAAUAAUAGUCCCCAAAUGGCAAACCCCACCCAUCUGUCACUCCAGGCAGGCUAAAGAAAACGCUCAAAGCAUUUGAAAGAGUUGGACAUUGUAUUUUAACCCAGUAGAGCAUGCAUGGCUUCUGUCUGCGUUGUCAUACAGUGACUGUAUAAUUAGCCACCCGAAAUAUGUCAAGCACUAGUUAGCACGCCCCGCCUGUAUUUUCUUGUUCUUCCACAUCCCAGACUACAUGAGUCAGCUCACAUGCCAAGCACGGCCACACUGUUUCUGAUAUGGCUUUGAUGAGUUCACCAGUUCACAUGUGAAGUCUUUGGGCCAUAUUUGUUUUAAGAGUCUCAUAGUAGGAGUUCUGAUCUGGGAUCUGUUUGAACUUUGGGAUCAUAAUGAACAAGAUCACAUGGAUGGAGACGGGCUGAUCCUAGAUCAGCACUCCUAACCCAAGAUGCUUUAUGGAUAUGUUUCGUACAGUAACACAUUAACUGUAUAUUAUGGAUAUGUUUCGUACAGUAACAUAUUAACUGUAUAUGACCUCUGUGUCAUGUUUCGAUAGCGUGAUCUAUGUAUAUGAAUAUACUGUAGCAGCUAUUCAUACAACACAUAGGACAGCGAGUAUUUAACCUUGAGCUUGUGAAUGUCUCAAAAUACCUAAUGUACACACUAUUCAUAACUGAGUUGUUUCUGUACUUUUUAUCUACUAACACUUUCUUAAAUGUGGAGAGAAAGGAAUGUGUUUUUUAUAAGGGGAAUGGAUUUUCUUGGCUUGAGUUGGUCUUUCCACAUGUUCUGAAAUGUCAUUAAAAUAGAUUUUUUUUUCCUCCAGGUACACAGCUAGAGAAUGUUAACGAUCAGCAUUCCAUAGUUGAAUGAUGCUUGUGAACAUACCAGAGAUAGGAUAUUUAAUUUGUGCUGUGUCUGGUCGUACGUGAUGAUAUGCCUGUGUGUGGGGACAGAUGAUUGGUAGACCAUGAGGCAGCUAAACAAGUUUGAUUGCAUAAGGCAUUCUUGAAAUUGGAUUGUUAUGUAAAAAAUGUCAAUCGUUUUUUGGCAAAUUCUAAAUGUGUCUGGAUUGAACAGGCAGCAUUUUAAACGUUUUUAAAUGAUCUGUUAACAACUGUGAAAUUUUGUGACGCAGUAAAUGUCUAGCUACUUUAGAGUUAACAAGGCAUGCUACAUAUAGUCUUAGAGAAAAGUUUAAAAGUUCAUUUAUGUUUAAUAUAAGGUUUCUGUUUUACUUUAUAUUUGUUGUAGAUUCAGAAGUGCUAUAGACUAAUGUGGGAGAGAAAUAUUACUAAAAUCCACCAUUUGUAAUAGCUUUAUAGAAAGUCUAUUUUGAGAGAGCAGUGUAUAUUUCAUAGCCAAAUUAUGUAAAAGUGUAUUUAAUGUGAGUUUAAUAAGAGAACCAAUAUUGAUAAGUGUUUUCCAUACCUCUAUGUUUGGUUGAGUAGUCAGUGCAUGCAGGUAGAGGUUGUUUUUGGUGUUAGUUCCCAGUAUGAGCAUGCUAUAGUAAAAAAUAAACAACCGCCCAAAAUCAA